GAAGGUAUAGCUCAGUGGUAGAGCGUGUGCUUAGCAUGCAUGAGGUCCUAGGUUCAGUCCUCAGUACCGCCA
rnacentral:tRNA from 1 species